GACGAACGCUGGCGGCGUGCUUAACACAUGCAAGUCGAACGGAAAGGCCCUGCUUUUGCGGGGUGCUCGAGUGGCGAACGGGUGAGUAACACGUGAGUAACCUGCCCUUGACUUUGGGAUAACUUCAGGAAACUGGGGCUAAUACCGGAUAGGAGCUCCUGCUGCAUGGUGGGGGUUAGAAAGUUUCGGCGGUUGGGGAUGGACUCGCGGCUUAUCAGCUUGUUGGUGGGGUAGUGGCUUACCAAGGCUUUGACGGGUAGCCGGCCUGAGAGGGUGACCGGCGACAUGGGGACUGAGAUACGGCGCAGACUCCUACGGGAGGCAGCAGUGGGGAAUAUUGCACAAUGGGCGGAAGCCUGAUGCAGCAACGCCGCGUGCGGGAUGACGGCCUUCGGGUUGUAAACCGCUUUCGCCUGUGACGAAGCGUGAGUGACGGUAAUGGGUAAAGAAGCACCGGCUAACUACGUG
rnacentral:rRNA from 1 species